rnacentral:miRNA from 1 species
CCAGGCUCUUUCCUCUACGCGCCUCGCGUAGUGGAAAGAGCCUGGGU